AGAGUUUGAUCAUGGCUCAGGAUGAACGCUGGCGGCGUGCUUAACACAUGCAAGUCGAACGAUUGAAGCUGGAGCUUGCUCCGGCCGAUUUAGUGGCGGACGGGUGAGUAACGCGUGGGUAACCUGCCUCAUACAGGGGGAUAGCAGUUGGAAACGACUGGUAAAACCGCAUAAGCGCACGGUAUCGCAUGAUACAGUGUGAAAACACUCCGGUGGUAUGAGAUGGACCCGCGUCUGAUUAG
rnacentral:rRNA from 1 species